GAACCAUCGAACACCCAAAUUUCGCCAGCGCCAUUUUAUGGAAUAUUAGCGGCAGAUUUGAGGCGAGAUGUUUCAACGUGUUUUUCAGUAAAAUGGAUGCAUUCUUCAAAGGAAUGACUGAACAGCCAUACAGAUCAAUUAUCCUCAAGACAAUCACCAUUCGCCAACCCACCUGCAGCUGUUAGAUGUAUCUACCCAGGCACCAAACCUUCUCAACUGUCCAUCGACUGUCAGGUAUCAUGCCAGUCACAGGAACCAAAGACCCAGGACUCUAUAACCCAGCACCACCCUGGCAGCUUAGACCAGCAUGAUUUGAAAACAACAGGAUGACUACCCACUCAUUUACAUCUAGACACUCUACUUCUGUCAAGGAAAGUUCUACUGCCUGAAACGCAGCCAACGUCGCUACAACAUGCUGCCCACUGAACUGUAAGCUACUGCCAUAGGAUCUGAUGGGCUAUCCAGUUUUAGUCACAGGAAAUCUUAGACCUGCGCCAUUCACAGCCGCUGACUCCUGAAACCCAACAAGGAAGCAGUCUGAGAUGCACUGGAGAUCUCUCUUUUCCGGGUUGCCAUUCAACGAAAACGAUACCACUUCAUAGGUGCUCCCUGUCUGCAUUGACUGGAUGGAAUGUGUGAGCUACAGGUAGACCAGCACCAGCAGGAGUCUGCAGGACUUGCUUUAGAAUGACUUCCUCCUCAACAAAUCUCUCCUGCUGGACACAAAACUUGUCUUCAGAGACUGCUCUUAUCUUCAACUGGACAAACACUGAUUCUAAGUAUACAUGCAGCUCACAUUGAGCCAUAUAUGAACGUACCUCGCAAGUCACAUUUCCAAAAAUGUUUGGAAAACUGUUGAAAAUAUGAUGGGAGAUACAUAAACAAUUCAUGAGAUCUGAUCAUGAGAUCUUCAAAAAUUGAUUCAAAAUGACUGUUGGAAUCUGUCAGGAACUUUUGAAACAGCACUCCAAGCUUUGAAAACGGAACUCUUUUGAAAAAGGAACUCUCUUGAAGUGAACGACCAUUUUAUGUGAAAGAAGUAGAGGUCUCUCUCUCCAUGAGGUCACUGGAGGUCAUUACAGUUAACCUCUGUGACCUGAGUUGCCUAGGGUAACCACAGUUUGACAGAAGUCAAAACUCUUGAAAGGAAAUUGAAAAAAAUCUUCAAUCACAGUAUUCCAUAAUGAAUCCACUGUCACCUAUUGACACAGUUUGGGACAAGAUCCCCUGAAUUUUUCUUCUGCAAGAAAUUUAUAUUGUGAUCCAAAAUCCUUCUAAACAAAGUGUUUGUUCUUUGUGGAUCCACCGUUGAUGUCACUUAUUGCUGAGAUCAAAUUGAACCGCAAAAUGGACGAGAGGCCUCUACAUGUUACACGUAACCAGCUUCUCAUUGCAAAACUUUCGGGCCAUAAAAAUGUUUUGGGUUUUUGGUGUUUUUUUUGUGAAUUGAUUUCCUUGAUUUCAUUCAGUGGCGCCACUUAUACUUGCCUGAAACUACAGCUUAUCACCAAAGCAGUCAAUAAGCAGAGCCACUUUACUUACAGCGCGGCAUUCCUUUUUCCUCACCUCGAUUUUCCAAGAGCAUUUGCAAAAGAACUAAAAUGUACGUAAUCUUUAAGACAGAUUUACGCAACAUUUACUCAAACUGAGGAAAACAUUCCCUCUCAAAAAUUUGGAUAAUGCAGCUUUAUGCUUAUAACAGAGAGAGCUGGUUACGUUAAAUUGAUAUUUUUAUCUGAAAUAUUUGUUUAUGGCAUUGCCUGAUUGGUAGUAGCUAGGUGCAAGGUUGGUUUUGCUGGAACAAAACUUGACGCACAAAUGCAAACACAUCUCUUUGAACCAAAUUUUUCUAUAAUUAACACAUUGAGCCCAAAAUCUCUCUUUUGGACUAACAUUUGGUUCGCAUUAAAAUCAAAAGCUGUUUGAGAUUUAAAAAGUCUGGAUUUCCUGACAACAAAAGCGGGAAUUCUCUGUUAACUUUAAAAUGCCCAACGUUGCAAACGAGUACAAAAAUCAGCUUUCCGUUAAAUCUCCAAAUCUGUUUCAACCUCUGCAAUGGGUUUUCGAUAGCUUUGAUGCAUUUCCCAGUUGAUCAUAAUUUAGCAGCUACUGUCAGCAGCAAUACCAAUCUUGUACCCAGCUUUUGUUUUAUUAAGUAUGGUCAGCACUGGUCAAAUGUGUAAAGGCAGCGUUUGGCUUUGAAUGAAACAUAUUGGCUUUAAUAUCACAUUUUCCAAAUUCAUCAAAAUUGAGAAAACCCCAAGUUUUCCAUUUCAAACUAAAAACAAAACUUGUAAAAAUCACAAAAUCGCUGUUAUUUGACAGUGUAUUACAGGCAGGUGUUUUUGUGUACACACCUAUGUUGAAUACUUUGAAAAAGCAGUCUUUGUUGGUUCAUUUGACAGGCAAUUUGAAUAACACAUUAAUGUAAAUGAUCAAAACAUUAUCCUAACUUUAAAAAAGAACAGAAAAAAAUUAUGCUUCCAGUGCUGGCUAUACAAUGUAAAUUCUUUUAUGAUAAUUUGUUGAGUAACCCAUAUAUACUUGACAUUUGACCAACAGGCAAUGUUCUGAUA